CUGUGGCGCAGUGGUAGAGCAUCUGCCUUGCGUGCAGAUGGUCUGAGGUUCAAUCCCCCGCGGGAGGG